rnacentral:rRNA from 1 species
UGCUAGUUUUCUAGCGAAUGGUUCAUUCUUUUUUACUGUGAACUGUUUUAAUUUUUCAGCGUCUGAGGAAUGUCUUUUAGCCAUAGGGAUAGGCUACUAGAAUGUUAACCGAGCUGAAAGUCAGGCUUAGGCCUGGUAUCCUAUUAAUUAUUUACCAAAAGAAUUCAGUAUUAUAAUUGUAACAUAAGCGUAAAAAACUUAUAAAACAACUUUUAACAACGGAUCUCUUGGUUCUCGCAUCGAUGAAGAACGUAGCAAAGUGCGAUAACUAGUGUGAAUUGCAUAUUCAGUGAAUCAUCGAGUCUUUGAACGCAACUUGCGCUCAAUGGUAUUCCAUUGAGCACGCCUGUUUCAGUAUCAAAAACACCCCACAUUCAUAAUUUUGUUGUGAAUGGAAAUGAGAGUUUCGGCUUUAUUGCUGAAUUCUUUAAAAUUAUUAGGCCUGAACUAUUGUUCUUUCUGCCUGAACAUUUUUUUAAUAUAAAGGAAUGCUCUAGUAAAAAGACUAUCUCUGGGGCCUCCCAAAUAAAUCAUUCUUAAAUUUGAUCUGAAAUCAGGCGGGAUUACCCGCUGAACUUAAGCAUAUCAAUAAGCGGA